rnacentral:rRNA from 1 species
GACGGGGGGUCCUAGCGUUGUCCGGAAUUAUUGGGCGUAAAGAGCUCGUAGGCGGUCUGUUACGUCUGCUGUGAAAACCCAGGGCUUAACCCUGGGCUUGCAGUGGAUACGGGCAGACUAGAGGCAGGUAGGGGAGAAUGGAAUUCCCGGUGUAGCGGUGAAAUGCGCAGAUAUCGGGAGGAACACCGGUGGCGAAGGCGGUUCUCUGGGCCUGACCUGACGCUGAGGAGCGAAAGCGUGGGGAGCGAACAGG